rnacentral:tRNA from 1 species
GAAGAAUUAGGAUAAAUUUUAGUCUGGGGGUCUUCAAAAUCCCAGGUAGAGUGUAAUUUUAUUCUUUU